rnacentral:rRNA from 1 species
UACGGGGGGGGCAAGCGUUGUUCGGAAUUACUGGGCGUAAAGGGCUCGUAGGUUGCCAACUAAGUCAGACGUGAAAUCCCUCGGCUUAACCGGGGAACUGCGUCUGAUACUGGAUGGCCUGAGUUCGGGAGAGGGAUGCGGAAUUCCAGGUGUAGCGGUGAAAUGCGUAGAUAUCUGGAGGAACACCGGUGGCGAAGGCGGCAUCCUGGACCGACACUGACACUGAGGAGCGAAAGCCAGGGGAGCAAACGGG